rnacentral:misc_RNA from 1 species
AACGAAAGUAGAAGUCAGUGGAAAAACUGAUCAAGUUUGAUCAAUGACAAGAGUAUUCUUGUUUGGAAUGAAUAAACAGUAGUUAUGAAUUGUACAUAAAUUUCUGUCUGACUGCUAUAUCACCUGUAGGUGGGUUGGCUAUUUUUGCAGAGUUUCAGAUAACAUUUUUGACGGUAUAAUGGAAAAGGGGGAUUUCGAACCGAGUGAAAAGGAAACGGUUUGCCGUAAAGAUACCAAUCUUGAUACGAACUAUAAAAAGUCGAUGGAGAAAUCUGGCCUUGAUUCAUUACUAGAUGACCGAGGCAGUUUGAAGAUUAACAAUGUACCACUAUAUAAAUUAAGUACGAAUAAAGAAGAACAGUUGACAAAUAAAUUCGGAGAUGGGACUAAUAUUUGUUCAUUAGAAAUCAGCGAGCAUGAGCGAAGUCGAAAACACAAAACUGAGAUAUCAGAGAGUGAAACAUGGAAUAAAGCAAGGAGAAUGUCACCUAAAUCAGCCGAUACAUCUAAGGACAUGGCUCCACAACAAUCCGAACUUCUGUAUGGGAGUGAUUUUGAAGGUUUUGCUGCUAGUACAGAGAAUAAUACGAUAGAUGCGGAUACAGAGUUGCUCGACUUUGACUUUUUGCUGCAAAAUAAUGUCAGCACUGGCCAAAAGAGAGAUAAUGUCGAUGUUAAUGCUGCAUUAAAAACUGACAAUAAUAGAACAUGCUUUGAUGGGUUAUCUUCUGCUGGAGAUUCUGAAAGAGACUUAGAUGCAGAAAUACUAGGCCAGAAAUCAGCUAUAGAACAAUCUGAAUGGGAAGAGAAGGCGGCUGGCAACACUAUGGUCUUAACUGGAGAACAGAAUGACCUUGACGUCGAAGGAGGACAAACUAAUCAAGAAGAGAUGGACUUAAACAUACCAACAGAUGUUGAUUAUAUCGACGCGGAUGAUGAGGACAUUCCACUGAGAGAAUAUCAGAAAGAGUUGGCUAAAGAGGGUUCAGAAGGAGAAAAUGUAAUUGUACUGGCGCCUACAAACACUGGAAAGACCAGGGUGGCCUGUAGCAUUAUACAGGUCCAUUUACGACGCCAAAGACGGUCAGAAAAUAUUGGUAAAGUCGUGUUUCUGGUAGAAAAUGAGGCACUAGCAUUGCAGCAAGGGAAAGUCUGUGCAGAACUGUUACCUGCCUACAGAACUAAGGUGAUCAGUGGAAGCAUGCAAAGGGACAAGAAACAGUUCUUGAAGGAUUUCAUUGAUAAGAGGGAUAUUCUGGUUGUAACUGCCCAGGUGCUGCUAAUGCUCUUACACGAAGGGAAAUAAAUAGUUUGACAGCAUUUUCUAUGAUUGUGUUUGAUGAAUGCCACCACACUGGUAAUCUGCAUAGUUUCAAUGAAAUAAUGAGUAAAUAUAUGGAUCUGAAACUGAGGGACAAUUUGGAUGUUAUCUCUUUACCGCAGGUAAUUGGUCUAACAGCUUCUUUGGGUGUUCGAGGAAAAACAGAUGCUUCUGCUGCUAUUGACCACAUGAAGGGCAUUUUGGCUAACCUAGAUGCAAAAUAUCUGUGUACAGUAAGACAAAAUUUUGAGGAAAUGAAGCUAUAUGAAAAUAAUCCAAAAGAAG